rnacentral:lncRNA from 1 species
UCUCAUGCCUGGUUAAAGAUUCCAUGACAUGUGGAAGCAUCAAAAACUAAAUCCAAGAGUCGCUUCUCCUCGAAAAUAAUUUUUAGUGUUUUUUCGAUGAGUUGCAUAACUUUAUUAAGUGACGUCAACUAAUUCCAAUGGAUGAGAUUUCAUCACAUGGCUAUCCAAUGGCCCAAAUAUGUGGUGCCAAUCAGACUUGGG